rnacentral:rRNA from 1 species
AGCGUUAUCCGGAUUUACUGGGUUUAAAGGGUGUGUAGGCGGAUUUUUAAGUCAGAGGUGAAAUCUCCAGGCUCAACCUGGAAACUGCCCCUGAUACUAUUAGUCUUGAAUAUUGAUGAGGUGGGCGGAACGGGUCAUGUAGCGGUGAAAUGCUUAGAGAUGACCCGGAACACCAAUUGCGAAGGCAGCUCACUGGGCAAUUAUUGACGCUGAGGCACGAAAGCGUGGGGAUCAAACAGG